AGACUAGAUUCUGUUUUAUGCAAAUCCGUCAGAUUUGGGAAGGCAGCUUGGAACAUUAUAAAGAAGCGUUAUUUUGAAUGGCAAGCGAGGAAAUACUUGGUAAAGAUUUGUUGACCCAUGCAACAAGCAUGUGGAAAAUUAUCUCCAAGAACAAUAUUUAUAUUCAUGCUACGAUUGGAAGUAGGAUCUCAAGAACCUUCAAAUGGAACAUCUUCACCCUUUCAAAGGAAAAAAUGAAAUUGGGGAGGAGAGCGGGAGAUGGAGUUCGUAUCAGCACGUGGGAAGAGCAGGGUCCGUCAUUCUGACGGCUUCUUUGGUCGGAACUGAGGUCAGCGUAGAGGAGAUUCCAAGACUCUACGAGAUUCUUUUAGGAGUUCAAAGGACUCUAACAAGGGGUUUCUUCCUUCCUUGUUCCAUUAUGGCUAUGAUGGAAGCAUUAAAAAAAUCAUUACGGGCGAGCUUUAGAAGGGAAUUUGUUUGUAGGUUUCAUGGUUGGGGAUGAGGAUUUGCAAUUGCGACAACGUCAGCAUGAUGUCAUGUACUACGGAUGCAGCUUUUGACUUUUUUUGUUAUCUGAACAGAUGAAAUGUAUAUGAAUUUGAAUUUGUAUAAUGUAUUUGUAUUUAAAUUUGAAUUUAUAUAAUAUAUUUGUAUUUCAAUUUGAA